CAGAGAUAUCUGAUGCUGCAUCAUUGUUGUGGGAGAAGAGCACUACUUGCUUAGAAAGACAGGUACAGCAACCUCCACCGCUCCUUUGCUUCUGCAUUUCAGAGGUCCUCCAGCUAUUCCAAGAAUCCCACUGCAAGAUGCACAGAUGACCUGCAAGAAUGAGGAGGAUUUUCACCAAGAAUUCAAGCAUCUGGCUAUGGCAGGGUUUCCCAUGGCUGACCAGAAAUCUAAUUCAAAGUGACAAGAACAAGGGCUAUCCUCAUGACUGGAUGAAACCUUCUUUCCCACCCACACCUUCACAAGACUUUCCUCAUACUUCCCUUUCACUAGAAGCCAGGCAGUUUACCUAAACACAAGAUCUCCUCUGCAGUUGUCUUUGUUGUUGAAGGUACAACCCAAACCUCCACAACUGAGGGGGUCCACCAUAUCCUCUGGGCUACUGAAGAUAAUCCCAUGUGAGAGCCCAGAACUAGGAAGUGAAGAAAGUCUGUUAUGAUGCACAGCUGGUACCACACUGCAAUUUCACUGAAUUUCACUGUCAAAUAUUCACUUUUUUUUUUUUUUUUUUUUUUUUAAACAGGCAAAGGUCUUUGUUUUCCAAAGAAAAUGUCAAUUAUAACAAUGUAGAGAAGAAUCUCCACUUUCUGAUAAGCAUAAUGGUAAUUAGGACCACAUACCACAGAAGCCCUAAAGAAAGGACAAGAUGUCCCUCCUCACUUUUGAAGUAUUUUAGAUCCAUGACACAUUUCUACAAGUAGUAAUGGUGAAAUAUAAAUUACUUUGGUUGAAAAUAGGUCAAUAUGCCACUGAUGUUGCUAGUCUGUCUUUUGUUGGUGGUAAAGACAUUCUUGAUUUUCCUUAAUGUUACUUUAUGAGAGAUAAUAUACAGAAAUCAGAAGUACUGCUGUAAUUGCUGGUUACCAUACCACCAGCAAGGUACCUCUGAAGAGAUAUAUUAAACAACCUCUUUUUAACAACCUCUUUUUUUUUUUUUUUUUUUCUUCCCAAGGGUAAUGUAGUUGAAAACAACUUUCUAUAUAUCAGAUGUUGACUCUUGUGGGAUUAUGGCUAGCAGUGAUAGAUUUUAACAUUCAGUGGGCCAAGCUGAGAAUUUAUGCUGGUGAAUUUAUACUGUGAAGAUUCAAAGAAGUGAGACAUUACUCACUCUUAGUUUGGCCCCAUAAUAUUAGACUAUUAUUCAAAAAAGGCAAAAAUAUAUGUCUAGGUUGGGGUAUCAUAACAAAUUAGAAGGCAGGGAUUGCCUUUGGGAGUGCUUAUUAUUUUUCCUUUUAGCCAGUUCCAAAGUCUUUGUAAUUUAUUCUAGGAAUCACAACCAAACUUUAUUCCUCUCAAUUCUUUCACAAAUGAUUCUUCACUGCAGAAAUACGAGAUACAUUUUUCAGUUUUGUUUUAGGCUGACAAGUUCUUUUUGCUCUUGACAACUGAUGACAUAUAUAAUAACAACAACAAAUCUCUAAGACAAUUCUCCCAUACUCCCUGUUUUGUUGACCAGCCCUUGAGGAAUACAGGAGAAGAGUUAAGAAUAUAAAGUGGUUUGACCACAUAGCAGCAACCCUGGAUCCAUUUGCUUCUGAGCCUGUUUUUCAAUGUGCCUCUCUUGGGGCCCUGCAAGCAGGUCCUACAAUACCAAGAAAGACUCCAAACCUAAUAUUUAAUUUACACAGUGUGUCCAGUCCACACGGGCCUUUGAAAAGAGAGAUAUCACAGACAGGCUGACUAUAAUGACAGUGUCUCUUUGGGGUAAAAAAAGAAACAUGAGGACUUCCACUUAUGUUCUGGAGAAUCCUACCAAGAAGAAGUAGUGAAAAAUAAUUAGUAAGUCCUUUUGUGCCCAGAGAUACUUUUUAUAAUUUUUGAAGUGUUAUUUAUGAAUCCCUCCUCUCUGAAUGCUUUAUUUAUUCGCACUGGGUCUUUCAGCUAGCACUGUUUGCUAUUUUGCUUGAGGUUAUAUCAACAGUCUGAUAGAGAAAUGCAUGCCAGUAAGUGUCAAUGCCCUUCUUGGCAACAUAUUUAGGUUUCCUUAGGAUCAAGUCAUCCCACAAACUUUAGUUGCUAUUACUUCGGGCAAAGUUUAAAGAGAUCUGCCAUUGCACUAAAAAAGGCUCUAACACAGAACUAAAUGACGCCCCCAGAAAUGUUGCUAAAAGCAUAAAUUGAAAGAAUAUACUCUAUGGUAUAUCUUCCUUGUUAAAGAUGGAGAACAUCUGAAGUGAGGAUUUUUAUUUUUGGCAAAAAAGGACCAUAGACUAACCUGUUGAAAAGUCAGCACAUCUUAGCUUCUCAGUCUGCAGCCUGUUAAGAGUUCUGGGUAGUGUAGUCUAAAAUGUAAAGGCUUCAACUAACUUUAAAACUCCUCACAGAAACCAUUGAAAACAUUACUUACUAAAAAAAUACCAUAUGAAGAGGGUAAAAGAGAAGGUGCAUCCUGUGAAGCAGCUGUUGGGUAUCACAGAAAACUCAUCUGGUUUAUACUGACAAAGGUAGUACAAGAUGUCAUAUAGAAUAUAACAAAUAUAAAAACCUAUUCAGGUUCCUUUUUGUUGGGUUCCUCAGGAUACAAGCAGAUACUCACAUUCGCAAUCACUUUAAAAAUUAUGGAUGUAGAUAAAUUAUAGUAAAUGAAAUCUUAAAGAAAAGUUGAAAAAAGAAAACUAUUUUCCAGACUUUUUUUUGCUUCCCACAUUAAAGAUGUUUUUUAAAGAUUUGUAUGGUUUUCAUGAUGUGUUUUACAUAAGCCAAGACAAACUUUGUUAUAUAACCUAAACUAAAAUCAUUUGCUUUCCAGGUAACUGCAGAUUGCUUGUGAAUGUAAAUUGCAAAGGUUUGCUACAGAGAUGACAUUAACUGUUACUGUAAGUUUUGUUUCAGGAUGGGCCAAUACACAAUACCUUCAGAAUUUAAAAAAAAAAAGAAAAAAAAGAAAAAAGUUUAAAGAACAGUGGUUCUGUCAUUUUAUAUUAAGUAUGUGCAACAGGUUCAACAGCUGAAACUCAUGGGAUUAUCCAGCUUUACAGUCCCUGCUGAGUAAGCUGAGCUAGGAGAAAGCUUUGUUUCUGACGGAAAAGGUGCCACCAUAGCCCCACAAAUCAAACACAUUAGGAUUUACGUUCUUUCCUCUAAGCUAAAUGGUCACUUGCUGCACUACAUAAACAGCAAGGAAAAUACUCUUUUGGCAGAUGCCUUGACCUGCAUGAGUGGAAAGCUACAUAAAAGCUUCUGAGAAAGGCCUGAUUAAAGCUGAACACAGAAAUUUUCCCUUGGAGGUUGGUGGUGUCAGCAGUUUUGGAUAAUCUUUGUCAUAUUAGUGGCAUUUGUAUUGUAUUAGUGAGUUCUAUAGCUUAAUUCAACAUUAAAAAUACUAGCACAAUGUGAGUGGUUAUCAUUCUCCAUCUGACA